AUUGAACGCUUGCGGCAGGCUUAACACAUGCAAGUCGAGCGAGCGGCGGACGGGUGAGUAAUGUCUGGGAAACUGCCCGAUGGAGGGGGAUAACUACUGGAAACGGUAGCUAAUACCACAUAGCAUCACAUGUGCCCAGAUGGGAUUAGCUAGUAGGUGGGGUAAUGGCUCACCAAGGCGACGAUCCCUAGCUGGUCUGAGAGGAUGACCAGCAAACUUGGAACGGAGACACGGCCCGAACUCCUACGGGAGGCAGCAGUGGUGAAUAUUGGACAAGGGGGGCAAGCCUGAUGCAGCCAUGCGGCGGGGGUGAAGAAGGCCUUCGGGUUGUAAAGCACGUUCAGCGAGGAGGCGUUACCCGCAGAAGAAGCACCGGCUAACUCCGUGCCAGCAGCCGCGGUAAUUC
rnacentral:rRNA from 1 species